GCCUAGUAUCCUCCUCGUGUCAGG
rnacentral:piRNA from 1 species